GAACGCUGGCGGCAGGCUUAACACAUGCAAGUCGAGCGGUAACAGAAAGUAGCUUGCUAUUUUGCUGACGAGCGGCGGACGGGUGAGUAAUGCCUAGGAAUCUGCCUAGUAGUGGGGGAUAACUUGCCGAAAGGUAAGCUAAUACCGCAUACGUGCCUACGGGAGAAAGCAGGGGACCUUAGGGCCUUGCGCUAUUAGAUGAGCCUAGGUCGGAUUAGUUAGUUGGUGAGGUAAUGGCUCACCAAGACCGCGAUCCGUAACUGGUCUGAGAGGAUGAUCAGUCACACUGGAACUGAGACACGGUCCAGACUCCUACGGGAGGCAGCAGUGGGGAAUAUUGGACAAUGGGGGAAACCCUGAUCCAGCCAUGCCGCGUGUGUGAAGAAGGUCUUAGGAUUGUAAGCACUUUAGUUGGGAGGAAGGCAGUUAACUA
rnacentral:rRNA from 1 species